rnacentral:tRNA from 1 species
GCUAUCGUAGCUUAACCAAAGUUUGAUACUGAAGAUAUUAGGAUGGGCCCUAGAAAGCCCCGAAAGCA